rnacentral:rRNA from 1 species
GACCUCAAAUCCGGAGGAGCCCCA